rnacentral:rRNA from 1 species
GACGAAGGGGGCUAGCGUUGUUCGGAAUUACUGGGCGUAAAGCGCGUGUAGGCGGUUGUUCACGUCAGGUGUGAAAGCCUUGAGCUCAACUCAAGAAAUGCACUUGAUACUGGAUGACUAGAGGACCGGAGAGGAUAGUGGAAUUCCCAGUGUAGUGGUGAAAUACGUAGAGAUUGGGAAGAACACCAGUGGCGAAGGCGGCUAUCUGGACGGUUUCUGACGCUAAGACGCGAAAGCGUGGGGAGCAAACAGG